rnacentral:rRNA from 1 species
GAUGAACGCUGGCGGCGUGCCUAAUACAUGCAAGUCGAGCGAACGGACGAGAAGCUUGCUUCUCUGCUGUUAGCGGCGGACGGGUGAGUAACACGUGGAUAACCUACCUAUAAGACUUGGAUAACUUCGGGACGCCGGAGCUAAUACCGGAUAAUAUUUUGAACCGCAUGGUUCAAAAGUGAAAGACGGUCUUGCUGUCACUUAUAGAUGGAUCCGCGCUGCAUUAGCUAGUUGGUAAGGUAACGGCUUACCAAGGCAACGAUGCAUAGCCGACCUGAGAGAGUGAUCGGCCACACUGGAACUGAGACACGGUCCAGACUCCUACGGGAGGCAGCAGUAGGGAAUCUUCCGCGAUGGACGAAAGCCUGACGGAGCAACGCCGCGUGAGUGAUGAAGGUCUUCGGAUCGUAAAACUCUGUUAUUAGGGAAGAACAUAUGUGUAAGUAACUGUGCACAUCUUGACGGUACCUAAUCAGAAAGCCACGACUAACUACAUG